GUAGGUGGCGAGCGUUGUCCGGAUUUAUUGGGUUUAAAGGGUGCGUAGGCGGCCUUGUAAGUCAGUAGUGAAAUAUCCCGGCUUAACCGGGAGGGUGCUAUUGAUACUGUGAGGCUUGAGUACAGACGAGGUAGGCGGAAUUGACGGUGUAGCGGUGAAAUGCAUAGAUAUCGUCAAGAACACCGAUAGCGAAGGCAGCUUACCAGGCUGUAACUGACGCUGAGGCACGAAAGUGUGGGGAUCAAACAGGAUUAGAUACCCUGGUAGUCCACACUGUAAACGUUGAUGACUCGCUGUGUGCGAUAUACAGUACGCGGCUAAGCGAAAGCGAUAAGUCAUCCACCUGGGGAGUACGCCGGCAACGGUG
rnacentral:rRNA from 1 species